CAGAAACACCCUCACAGACACUUCGAAAUAAUGUUUUACUAGAUAUCUGGGCCUCCCUUAGCUUGAUCAAUCUGGCAUGUAAAAUGAGCCAUCACGAAUGGGAACUCAAAAGAAGAUAGGGAUCUGCGGUAUCCUGGGUGCCUGGAACAUUGUCUGGCACACAGCACUGGGUUAGAUUGCAAUUCCUGAUCCUUCCAACAAAAGUGACACGUAUCACCUCCAAGAGAAGCAUUUCAUGGCCCAUGUGAGGCACUCCAGCACCCCCUCUUCCUCUUUGGGAGUUGCGAAGGCAAGUGCUGCCAUGCAUACUUGACCAUCCUGGACUCUGGGUGACCAUGAAAAAUGCUCCUCCAUUUCCCCCCAAAGAGACCACCAGGAUUCCAUCCUCUGCCCAUCCAAUCUGUGUGGAGAUGUGCCAUCUUCUGGCUCCAGGAAUGGGUAGAUGAGAAGAGCCAAGUACAGGAUAGUAUAUCAUCCUUUAGGAAUCAGGGCGUCCACAGUUCAAGUCUGCUAGUGAGCAUCAGGCCCAGGACUCCUACUGCAACAUUUAUCAAAGAGAUGUAUCUCUCCACCAGGGUUGUCAGGCUGAUAGGACAUGUGUCUAAUGCUGCUAGUGGCUAUCUUGCUACCAACUGGAAAAAGCUUGACAUAUAUCAAAACUAAUACACAAAAAGCCCAAAAUCAAGAAUUAAAGAGGAAUGGAUCCUGGAGACAUGGUUUGAGCACCUGGAUCCAAUUAUAUUUCCAGGAACACACUCUGUAAUGUACCAGUUGGACAAGCCAGCGGCUUAGCUUUCUGUGCAUACAUCAGUUCAAGUUGGGUUUUUGAGACUUGGCAUGAAAACAAUCACCCAGGAAAAACAUAACUGAUGGGACAACUCACAGACUUCUCUGAAUCUUGGACUCCCUCUAAGACAUUAUGAAAUAAGAAUUAAGAGAGGUUAAGUGGGUUGGCACAGUGAGUGCUGAGUGAUAUGGAAUUAGAGUGAGUGAGUCUUAUGGGCCGAGUUUGUGAGUGAAGAAGGGGUACUGGAGAAGCUGAGGACGGGGGUUGGGUGAGGGUGGAGUGUUCUAGUAAAUGAUUCUAGAGCGAAAACCAUGUAUUUAGGUCUUCUUUAAUGUCCUUGAGAGAUGCUAGAAUAAUAGAAGGCCUUUUUAAUUGCAUUUGACCUUUAAACUGAGCUACUUGAACCUUACACUGUGUUUAUGGAUCCCACAGGACUCUAGGUUGACAAUUUUUGUGUAGCACAGUUUGUAAGGCAAAGAAUACUUUCUUUCUCCUCAAUUUUAAUUCCUCUGUUUACAACUUUUGUUUUGACUUGAGAAAUCUUCACCAAUGUCUACAAACUUCAUUGUUUCUAAUAUCAAUAUCCAUAGAAGAAUGAUAAAGUACAAUUAUGAGGGGACUAAUAUGAAACUAUACAAAUGUCCAGGUUUUCAGUAUAGUUUUAUUUAAAAAACAGACUAAGAAAAAAAUUUGAUUUUAUCCAGAGACUCUUUUUUUGAAAAUAUAAGUGUUGCAUUUCAUAAUGAAAUCAAUGCUAAACAAAGAUCUGUUGUUUUUGUUGUCUGAACUGAUUUGGAUAAAUUUCUGGAGGACAAACUUUGGUUAGCAGUACAGACAGAUGAUGACUUACCCAGCACUGGUUUUCUCAGAAAUGUAGCAUAGCGCAUUCUGCUAACCAAGGCAAUACCAUCAUGGUGAUGGGACUAUGGCUGUAUUGCCUUUUCAUGUUAUUUUGAAGUCCUGAACUUCAAAUGCCAGUGUUGAAGAUAUAUAUGAGUAAAUGAGUGAUAAUCCAACAGUAUAAAUGUUACUUGAGAUCUAGUACAUCAUGAAAUGCUUAUUGCCCAAAGCCGAAGAAGAAAAGGGGCAAAGAAGCCAGUGAAGACUUAAUAGUCUUUAUUUUUGGUGAGAGACUAUUCAAAGUAUUGGGCCUCGUUUUGUUCUUGUCCCUGUGAGAUUUGGAAAGAAUUUGGGAAAGGAAGCAGCGUCUAAAGGAAGGAACAAGAAAACCUGUGAAGUUAGCUUUACAGAA